UUAUACAAUCACAUUUCAUGGAACAGAAUGGAAAGUUAAUUGACUAUGUUUUCCUGUCAAGAAGAUGCAUGUUAAGGCUAUUGUAGGGUUAAAGGAAGAAAGAAAUGACUGUGCCAUGACUUUUCUUCUUCCUCUUCUUAUUAACAGCUCUGCAGUCAGUUAAUAUUCUCACACACAGGCAUGUGGAAACCAAUUCUUCCCAUCUGCUAUACAAAGAGCCAUCGUGAUGUGAGAGGAGCAAGCAUGCACCCAGCCUUGCCACUUGAUGCAGUGCCCAGGGCCAAUAGCAUAAGACCACCUGGGAAUUUGUUUAAAAUGGAGAAGUUUGCAUUCUACCUAAGAUCAAUUGAAUCAGAUUCUGCAUGUUAACACGUUUCUCAGUUGAUAAAAGUUGGGAAGCUCUGCUCUAGUGACUCAAGUUCCUUCCAUAGGAAACAAAAUUCGGAGUAGAAUUUCCUAGGUAUCAUGUC